rnacentral:rRNA from 1 species
AUGCCAUCUUUCUCAACACCAUUGUUGUACCUCUGCCUACUGCUGGUGCCGUGCCUUCUUCUCUUGCAAGAAGCACACGCGGCGCGCCAUGGAGGGAUCUCACUGAGGUCCCAACACAUUGCCCUCCUCCACUGGAAAGCUACACUUGCAAGCCCACCGCUGCAGAUGAGCUCUUGGCAGGAAAACACCAGCCCAUGCAACUGGACGGGCAUCAUGUGCGCGGCUGUUCGUCGUGGCCGCCGUAUGCCCUGGGUGGUGACCAGCAUCUCCCUGCCAGACGCUGGCAUCCAUGGCCAACUUGGUGAGCUCAACUUCUUGGCUCUUCCAUUCCUUACAUAUAUUGACCUCAACAACAACAGUCUACAUGGUCCAAUACCAGCUAAUAUCAGCUCUCUAUCAUCACUAUCUUGUCUUGAUCUCGGCUUCAACCACCUCAAAGGGAAAAUUCCUCAUGAGAUAGGUGCCCUGCAAAGUCUCACGCAGCUUGAUCUGUCAUUUAACAGACUCACAGGACACAUUCCUGCGUCUAUGGGCAACCUAACAAUGUUAACUGUUCUGGUCAUUGGCCAAACCAUGGUAUCAGGUCCCAUUCCUGAGGAGAUUGGAAGACUUGUCAACCUACAAGCUCUACAGCUAAGCUACAGCACUUUAAGCGGCAUGAUACCAAAAACCAUUGGAAAUCUAACCCAGCUAAAUACUUUGUACCUGUUUGCUAAUCUACUUUCAGGGCCUAUACCCCAAGAACUAGGCAAGCUAGUUCAUUUGCAAUAUCUUGAGCUUGAUAGAAAUGUUUUUUCAGGACCAAUUCCAAUCUUCAUAACCAAUCUCACUAAGAUGAACACACUUUUUCUCUUUGACAAUCAAAUCUCAGGUCCAAUACCCCCAGAACUAGGCAAGCUCGCUAUGCUAAACGGACUUGAUCUCAGCAAAAAUCAAAUAACAGGUCCAAUACCCCCAGAACUAGGGAACCUAACUAUGCUCAACGAAAUUUUUCUCGAUGAUAACCAAAUCACAGGUCCAAUACCUUUAGGAUUGGGCAUCUUGCUGAAUCUCCAGUAUUUAAGCAUGUACAACAAUCAAAUAUCGGGCUCUGUUCCUGCCAGCUUAGGGAAUAUAACCAAGCUAGUUCAACUAGCCCUCUUUGAAAAUCAGAUAACAGGUUCCAUCCCCCAGGAAAUUGGCAAUCUAAUGAACCUCGAAUAUUUAGGCUUGUAUCAGAACCAAAUUUCGGGCUCAAUACCUAAAACUUUUGGGAAGUUGCAAAGCAUGCAAGAACUGCAAAUCUUUGAUAACAAAUUAUCAGGUUCUCUUCCUCAAGAAUUUGGAGAUCUCGUAAGCCUUGUUCAACUUGGGCUAGGUAACAACUCCCUUUCAGGACCUUUACCAGCAAAUAUAUGUUUAGGUCGCAAACUUAAAUUUCUCCAUGUCUAUUCUAAUAUGUUCAAUGGCCCCAUUCCAAGUAGUUUAAAGACAUGUACGAGUUUGGUUAGACUUCAGCUUCAGAAGAACCAACUAACCGGAGAUAUAUCUCAGCAUUUUGGUGUGUAUCCACAACUCAUAGAAAUGCGCUUGUCAUCUAAUAGACUCUCUGGGCAGAUCUCACCAAAUCUAGGUGCAUGUACCCAGCUAACAGUAUUAUCUCUAGGAAACAAUAUGAUCAGGGGUUCCAUACCUCCAUUCCUUUCUAAAUUGUCCAACCUAGAACAACUAAGACUUGAUUCUAAUCAUCUCAGCGGUGAGAUUCCACCAGAAAUCUUUAGUUUAGCAAAUCUAUAUAGACUGAACUUAUCGUCGAACCAGUUAUCUGGAUCCAUACCUACACAGAUAGAAAAGCUGAGCAAUCUAGGGUACCUUGAUAUGUCCGGGAACAGACUGGGUGGAUUGAUACCUGAAGAACUAGGGGCAUGCAUGAAACUAGAGUCCUUGAAGAUCAACAACAACAACUUCAGUGGGAGUUUGCCUGGUGCGGCUGGAAAUUUAGCACGCCUGCAGAUCAUGUUAGAUGUGAGCAAUAAUACCCUCAGUGGCGUGUUGCCGCAAGAGCUUGGGAAGUUGGAGAUGCUAGAAUUUCUGAAUUUAUCGCAUAAUCAGUUCAGUGGCAACAUUCCAUCCUCCUUUGCAAGCAUGAUGAGCCUUUCAACACUUGAUGUGUCCUACAACGACUUGGAAGGACCAGUCCCAACAACAUGGCAUCUCCGAAAUGCUUCAGAAACUUGGUUUCUUCCCAAUAAAGGCCUGUGUGGUAACCUCUCUGGCCUGCCACCUUGUUAUUCAACCCCAGUGGCUGCUCACCAAAAAGGGAAAAUACUUGGUUUGCUUUUGCCAAUUGUUCUUGUGAUGGGUUUUGGCAUUGCUGCUGCAAUUGUUGUCAUAAUAAUACUUACUCGUAAGAAGAGAAAUCCACAAGAAAGUGUUACCGCUGAAGCAAGGGACCUAUUCUCUGUUUGGAAUUUUGAUGGAAGAUUAGCAUUUGAUGAUAUUGUAAGGGCAACAGAAGACUUUGAUGAUAAGUACAUCAUUGGAACAGGAGGAUACAGCAAAGUCUACAAGGCACAACUCCAAGAUGGGCAGCUGGUUGCUGUGAAGAAGCUUCAUCAGACCGAAGAGUUAAAUGAUGAAAGAAGAUUUCGUAGUGAAAUGGAAAUCUUAACACAGAUCCGACAACGAAGCAUUGUCAAAAUGUAUGGAUUCUGCUCCCAUCCAGUGUAUAAAUUUCUAGUCUACGACUACAUUCAGCAGGGAAGCCUCCACAGAAUAUUGGAAAAUCAGGAGCUAGCAAAGGAAUUAGAUUGGAAGAAGAGAAUUGCUCUUGCAACUGAUGUGGCUCAAGCAAUAUCUUAUUUGCACCACGAAUGCAGACCACCUAUAAUCCAUCGAGAUAUCACAAGCAACAACAUCUUACUUGAUACAUCCUUCAAGGCUUUUGUCUCGGAUUUCGGCACGGCAAGGAUUCUUAAGCCCGAUUCAUCAAACUGGAGUGCACUAGCAGGAACGUACGGCUACAUAGCUCCUGAACUGUCAUACACAUCUGUUGCGACAGAGAAAUGUGAUGUUUAUAGCUUUGGGGUGGUUGUGUUAGAGCUAGUGAUGGGCAAGCAUCCAAGGGAUUUAUUAGAUGGUAGUCUUUCUAACGGCGAACAAGCAAUAAUGGUGAAAGAUAUUCUGGACCAACGUCCGACAACACCAAUAUCAACUGAAGAGAAUAGCUUAGCUCUGCUCAUCAAGCUGGCCUUAUCUUGUUUGGAAUCUUCUCCCCAAGCAAGGCCAACCAUGCGGGGGGCAUACCAAACACUCAUCCAGCGACCAUCUUCUAGUUCAACUACCGUGCCUUUCAGCGCACUUACAUUACAACAAGGGAUGCAUGUUGACAUAAGGCCUCAAUCCUAG